AACUAAUGAACUUGAAUAAGUAUAUAUUUUGAAAAUAUAAAAAAAGAAUAAAAUUUCUAUUAGUUU
rnacentral:tRNA from 1 species